rnacentral:rRNA from 1 species
CGGACUUAAGUGCCGUAAAAUCGGGCUGUCCAUCGUUUUAAUAACCGGUGAAGAAAGGGCCGGGCAAGACCGGUGCCAGCCGCCGCGGUAAUACCGGCGGCCCGAGUGGUGGCCACUAUUACUGGGCUUAAAGCGUUCGUAGCUGGUUUGUUAAGUCUCUGGGGAAAUCUUCCGGCUUAACCGGAAGGCGUCUCAGGGAUACUGACAGACUAGGGACCGGGAGAGGUGAGGGGUACUCCAGGGGUAGGAGUGAAAUCCUGUAAUCCUUGGGGGACCACCUGUGGCGAAGGCGCCUCACCAGAACGGCUCCGACAGUGAGGGACGAAAGCUGGGGGAGCAAACCGGAUUAGAUACCCGGGUAGUCCCAGCUGUAAACGAUGUGCGUUAGGUGUAUCAGUGACCACGAGUUACUGAGGUGCCGAAGAGAAAUCGUGAAACGUACCGCCUGGGAAGUACGGUCGCAAGGCUGAAACUUAAAGGAAUUGGCGGGGGAGCACCACAACGGGUGGAGCCUGCGGUUUAAUCGGACUCAACGCCGGGAAACUCACCAGAUAAGACAGCUGAAUGAUUGUCGGGCUGAAGACUCUACAUGACUAGCUGAGAGGAGGUGCAUGGCCGUCGUCAGUUCGUACUGUGAAGCAUCCUGUUAAGUCAGGCAACGAGCGAGACCCACGCCAACAGUUGCCAGCUCGUCCUCCGGGAUGGGGGGGACACUGUUGGGACCGCCUCUGCUAAAGAGGAGGAAGGAAUGGGCAACGGUAGGUCAGCAUGCCCCGAAUUAUCUAGGCUACACGCGGGCUACAAUGGGUGGGACAAUGGGUAUCGACACCGAAAGGUGAAGGCAAUCUCCUAAACCCAUCCUUAGUUCGGAUUGUGGUACACUCACCCACAUGAAGCUG